rnacentral:pre_miRNA from 1 species
CUCGGAGAGAGGAAGAAAGAGAGGUUUCAAGAAUAGUGGGAAUGGGAAUAUAUGAGAGAGCAUAAGUUGUCUAUCCCCUCACCCUUUGCCGAGGUGGAGAUUUUUGUUCCUACGUUUUCUCGAUACCUCCCAUUCCUAUCAUUGUUAGAAUUUCAUUCAUCUUCAUUUUGUCU